rnacentral:rRNA from 1 species
UACGUAGGUCCCAAGCGUUGUUCGGAUUCACUGGGCGUAAAGGGUGCGUAGGUGGUGGGGUAAGUCGGAUGUGAAAGCUCAGGGCUCAACCCUGAGAGGCCAUUCGAUACGGGUCGGCUAGAGGCAGGUAGGGGAGAAUGGAAUUCCUGGUGUAGCGGUGAAAUGCGCAGAUAUCAGGAGGAACACCGGUGGCGAAGGCGGUUCUCUGGGCCUGUUCUGACGCUGAGGUGCGAAAGCUGGGGGAGCAAACAGG